CUACGGGUGGCUGCAGUGGGGAAUAUUGCACAAUGGGCGCAAGCCUGAUGCAGCCAUGCCGCGUGUAUGAAGAAGGCCUUCGGGUUGUAAGGUACUUUCAGCGGGGAGGAAGGGAGUAAAGUUAAUACCUUUGCUCAUUGACGUUACCCGCAGAAGAAGCACCGGCUAACUCCGUGCCAGCAGCCGCGGUAAUACGGAGGGUGCAAGCGUUAAUCGGAAUUACUGGGCGUAAAGCGCACGCAGGCGGUUUGUUAAGUCAGAGGUGAAAUCCCCGGGCUCAACCUGGGAACUGCAUCUGAUACUGGCAAGCUUGAGUGUCGUAGAGGGGGGUAGAAUUCCAGGUGUAGCGGUGAAAUGCGUAGAGAUCUGGAGGAAUACCGGUGGCGAAGGCGGCCCCCUGGACGAAGACUGACGCUCAGGUGCGAAAGCGUGGGGAGCAAACAGGAUUAGAUACCUCUGUAGUC
rnacentral:rRNA from 1 species